rnacentral:rRNA from 1 species
AGCGAACGCUGGCGGCAGGCCUAACACAUGCAAGUCGAACGAACUCUUCGGAGUUAGUGGCGGACGGGUGAGUAACACGUGGGAACGUGCCUUUUGGUUCGGAAUAACUCAGGGAAACUUGUGCUAUACCGAAUGUGCCCUUCGGGGGAAAGAUUUAUCGCCAUUAGAGCGGCCCGCGUCUGAUUAGCUAGUUGGUGAGGUAACGGCUCACCAAGGCGACGAUCAGUAGCUGGUCUGAGAGGAUGACCAGCCACACUGGGACUGAGACACGGCCCAGACUCCUACGGGAGGCAGCAGUGGGGAAUCUUGCGCAAUGGGCGAAAGCCUGACGCAGCCAUGCCGCGUGAAUGAUGAAGGUCUUAGGAUUGUAAAAUUCUUUCACCGGGGACGAUAAUGACGGUACCCGGAGAAGAAGCCCCGGCUAACUUCGUG